rnacentral:lncRNA from 1 species
AGCAUCUCUCAAGACUCCAACUCUAGCAUAUCUAGUGUAGCAGUUCCUCAUGUCACGUUUGCCAGGAGGUCCGACGCUCAGCAUCCUCCGGUCCAGAGGACUGACCCACCUCCUUCCUCAUCGUUACCAGGGCGAAGUAGUCUUCGAAGUAAACCGGUGCAAGAAACUGCCAUGUGGUGAAAACCAGAUCCAGAUUGAUUUUAUACUACGCAUUUUGUAAUACAUCAAGUAAAAUUCGGUUCAGGAAAGAAAUGCGGUUGCAGUUUUCGGGUCGUUGACAUACUCGUAUCAUUUUAGAACCAGGCGAAACUGAUUGUGAUUUCAUUUUACCUUUGUAAAUUAUGAUGUAAAAUGCGACUGAGGUAUUCAGGCUCAUGUUAGUUGGCAGAAACCAAUUUCAGGUAAAGCUAUUGAAUCAUGACUGAUCUGAAGCUAAAAUGAAAGGAACACAGAGAGGAGCUGUAGGAAAAUUGGAGAGACAUUAUAAAAAAUCUUCCUCACGCGCUUAAGUCUUGCUUAAGAGUUUGUAUCUUCCCUAUUACUCGUAAUAUUUUGAUUAAAAAAACAUCCAAACUCCUAUAACUCCGUUGAAUGCCACAUCUUGAUCCCAGAAUACCCCAGUGGAGCCCAAAAUCAAAUUUUUUUGUAAUAUUUUAUGUUAUUCCAUGAUGGAAUUGUUUUUGCGUUAAUCAAUGUAUUUAUGUGAUUGACUGAAACUUACUGAUUGACUAAUGUAUAGUUGUAUAAUACAUCAGUUUAAAUGUGUACAGUAGUACAUCACAACGCUUUUAACGAGAGAAGAACAUUUCUAUAUAAAUAAUUACAAAAUUUUACGUCGCGAGGUGCUCAUCCUGUAAAAAGAUUUAUACUUUGAGCGCUCCAUAAGAUUAACUUCUGUUCUCCUGUUCAUCGCUAAGGAUACAUUUUUUUUGCAGCUACUUUUUCUCCACUGCUAAGAAUCUCAGUGCACGUUUAAUGCCUAAAACCACACAAGAAAAUGUUGUAAGAAAAUCAAUUUCAAGGCACUUUUUGGUGUAUUUACUCUUAUCUUUUUACUCUAAUUCUCGCGAUUAAAAUUUAGUUUAUACAGACACAAAAUGGAAGGCCCUUUUUCGCAUGUGAAAUGUUCUUCUGAGCCUGAAUUGUAGGAUUAAGUAUUUUUCCUUGUACAGUAUAUUUUUUUAUAAUAACGAGAAUUGUCUUUGUAAACAAAAGUCAGUGCCCUAGGUCUAUGCAUUUUCUAUUUUACUUUAUUAUUUUUCUUGGUGUAAUAUUUUCGUACAUACGUGAGUGAAACACCUUUAUUUAUUAAUUUAUUUAAUUGAUUAAUUAAUUAGGAAGAAAAAGUAAUCUGUGAUUUAUUACGGUACGCGGCCAUUUUACGUAGUGAUAAAGUUACCUCCAUUC